rnacentral:rRNA from 1 species
AUGCACAACCUCGUAUGCUCUGCUUUGCUCUUCUUCCUCCUUCUCUCGUCGUCCAAGCCGGCGAUCUCUUCCCCCUCCGGCGGCCAUCGCUACAAGUCCAUCUUCAGCUUCGGCGACUCCUUCACCGACACGGGCAAUAACCCCGUGGUCUUCGGAUGGUACAACGUGUUCAACCACGUCACGCGGCCUCCUUACGGCACCACCUUCUUCGGCCGCCACACCGGCCGCAACGGGGACGGGCGGCUCAUCAUCGACUUCAUCGCUGAAAACCUGGGCCUGCCGUAUGUGCCGCCCAUGCUGGCCCACAACGGCAGCUUCCGGCGAGGUGCCAACUUCGCCGUUGGAGCCGCCACCACUCUGGACGCCCGUUUCUUCCACGAGAGAGACAUUCCCGGUGGCUCCAGCAAGUUCCCAUUCAACACCAGCCUAGGCGUGCAGCUGGAGUGGUUCGAGUCCAUGAAGCCCUCCUUGUGCCGCACAGCCCGAG